CCCGACUACCCAAUCAGUAAACUUUAUAAGCCGCUACCCCGGAAGCUAUCACAUUCCAUGACAGGAGAGCUGGAUUGAGACGCUACGGGAGCCAACUGCCAGUAUAACACGCCGCGAAUAAGCAGCAUAUUUGGUGCACUUAGUCGCAAUCGGCCAUAGGGAUUGAUGGCGAGCUAAGCCCGAACCUGAUCAAGCGCUGGAGCUCUCUGAAGGAAUCACCUCCUCCCUGUCGUUCAGCCCAGGCUGGUAGGAGGCUCCUGUAGCCUAAUGACUCAUUUAAUCAAUGCAACUGCAUUUCGUCCUACAACCCAGAGACACAAAGACUUUCAAUCACUUCCCAUCACUGAACACUAACCUCCGGAUUCAACUAUUUCUGUCUGGGUUGCAUGGACAAUACAUGAGCUGAUGAUAUUGAGUCGGAUACGACGGAUCACUCACUGAACCGUCCAUCUGUACAUAAUCUUUGUAAAGGAUAUCCUGGAAUAAUUUGAAAUAUUCUUUUGUAAUAUUGGUGUAUGGUGUAUGUUUAUGUGUGUGUCAAAAAAUACAUGGUACCAUUCAUAGCAAACCUACAGUCUCCAGUCUCUGCCUCCUCUCUCCCUGAGCCGUCCCUGUUCUUCUGACUCUAGUCCACGAUAGAUAUGCUACAAAAUUAGUGGCGAGCUAGCUAGGAGAGAGGUUUGGCAGAACUGUUGGUGUGGUGACGUAUCAUUGUAUUAUCACAGUAAAUCUACACGAGCAUGGAGGUAUUUGAGAAAUCUGGCAUUAAGAUUCCUAAUGCAGUGGUCAUUGAUGGGUUCACUAAAACAGAAACAGAUGAAGAAAUACUUGGGUUUUUGAGCAAAUAUGGUUCGAUUUCAAAGACUCACAUUAUUGAUGAGCCCGAUUCUGUGUUUAAUCAAAAGCUUAUUGUUGAGUUUAAUUCUGGCUUUGCAAUUGCUGCGCUCCGUAAAAUGUUGCCGCAUACUUACGUCAGCAAAGAUAAAACAAUCACAUACAAAGUUUCCGAGCUAUCAACUCUUUGCGCUGCCCAGGUUGAAGAAAAGGUGACUAAUGCUUACCUGUGUGAACUCCAAAC